UUAAAGGCUGGACAAGUUGCAGUUACCACAGCAGGCAAACUACCUUGCAUGAAGCUGAUUCAUUUGGUAGGCCCGUGUCUGCAGAAUGACCCCACAGUGCACAUGAUAUCCCAUGCAAAGAAACUUUUAACUAAAGGUAUUUUGAAUGUCAUGACAUGUGCAGAAGAGCACAAAUUUUCAUCUGUUGCCAUUCCAGCAGUGAGCUCUGGAAUAUUCAACUUUCCAGUCUCAAUUUGUGCUGAUGUUGUAGUCACCACAAUCAAAAAGUACAUUAAACAUAAGAACCCCACAAGUCCUCCAUUUGAAAUACACCUGGUAAACAACGAUGAUCCAACCAUGAAGGAAAUGGAAAGGGCCUUCAAAGAGAUCCUUUUGGAGCCACUCUCUGAUGUCAGGAGGACAGGGCCAGAGGAUUCUCCAUCUACACUGGAAAGGACAGAGCACCUUGAGAGAAACACAACCGGUCUAACAAAGGACACUGCAUCACAGGUCGCAUAUUUGUGGAAACAACAGGAAACGGAAGUUGUUGUUUCUGUGGUCCCAUCUCAGAUUAGAGGUAACAACUUUGUCAUACGUCACAGUGAGUUCCUGACCCUUAGACCACACAGCUGGCUUGUUGGAGAGGUAUGUAAUCCAGGUAUUAACCCGCCUUCCCCCCAAAAGUACUGCAUAAGGAUAACGUUAAAGCUGGGGCAGAACAUUAGUUG